UACGUAGGGCGCAAGCGUUGUCCGGAAUUAUUGGGCGUAAAGAGCUCGUAGGCGGCCUGUCACGUCGGGUGUGAAAGCCCGGGGCUUAACCCCGGGUCUGCAUUCGAUACGGGCUAGCUAGAGUGUGGUAGGGGAGAUCGGAAUUCCUGGUGUAGCGGUGAAAUGCGCAGAUAUCAGGAGGAACACCGAUGGCGAAGGCAGGUCUCUGGGCCACUACUGACGCUGAGAAGCGAAAGCAUGGGGGAGCGAACAGG
rnacentral:rRNA from 1 species